GAAAAUUAUCCCUUGCUUACCUUUUCGGCAAGUUAUCCUGGAUGUGGAGUUACGUGGGAGAAAGCUGCCGUGUUUCUUUCAGUACCAAACAUUCUUAUUGACAGCAGCAUUGAUAACUAGCAUCUCGGUGUUCGGGGUUGUGUAAAUGGUGUAGGGAAGGUAGAUUUUGGCCCAAUGCAAGGAAAUUCUUUCUGAUCCGCCAUGAUGCCCAGCGUUGGUACCAUCUGGCUCGGGUGGCAGUGAGCUUCUUGAUGCAUGGAUGUGAUUAUCUGAUAGAGAAGGUGGCUUGGUGGUGGGUGGAGUGGGUAAGAGACUUUUUAUUUAACAGGGCAUGGUCCUGGCGUAUUGAAGGAAUAAGAAGGAGCCCAGCCGAUCUGAACCAUGGGAGACUAGGGCAAGUUCUCUCUCUAAGAGAACCACUAAAUAGGUACUGUGCAACGGCCUCUCCUUGAUUCUGGAGCCAUUCCAAAGGAAGGUGCCAGAAGCACAGCUGACUUACCCCACACCAUCUGCAACGCCCUUGCUCCUCCCAGGAGCGCCUCGCAGAGUUGUAAUGGAACCCAACCCAUACACACCAGCUGGCUUGGCUUUGCUGAGCAGUGCCAUUCGCUUAAGUUCAACAAACCACACUGAAUGCCAACGUGGCAUUCAGGCAUGAGGCGACAGGGGUAUGAAGACGGAUAAGACAUGGCACCAUCUGAGUGUGGUAAGAGGCGGAAGGACAGAGGCAUAGACAGGUAGGCCAACACUACGUGGGAAGUGCACCAAAGGAGGUAUGGACAGGUUGCUUUGGGUGCAUGAGGAGGAAGCAGCUAACUUAGGCUAGAGGGCAAGAGCAGCAAAUUAGGGAUUCGGGAAAUCUUCUGGGAGGGGCUGAUGCCUGGGCUGAGCCUUUUGCAAAAAUUAAAAUAUGCCAUUUUUUUCUUGUUAUCAGAGGAUAUGUAUUCAUUGUAGAAAACAAUUACUACUUCCAAAAAUCACCCCCAAACCCAACAUUGUAAUAGCACCACCAGAGAUAACCAUUGCUUACAUUUGAAGUAUGUCCUUUCAGUCUGUCUGUCUAUCAUCUAUCUAUAUGUACACACAAAUGCUUUAAAAAUGUUCUCGUAUAGUGACUGAUUUGUUGCUUCCUUAAAAAAAAAAAACAAACCUAACAAUGCACAAUGAAUAUUUCUUCAUGUCAUUAAAUAUUCUUCUCCAUAACAUUCCAUUGUAUGGCAUACCCUAAUUUAGUUAGCCAAUUCUCUAGUAUGGAAAUUUAAGUUGUGGCAAACAUCUCACUAUUAUUAACUGUGAUGAAGCUCCUUACGCUUAAGUCUAUUUGCAUAUCCAUCACUACUUCCUUAGGACAGAUUCCUAGAAUGAAAAUUGCUGGGUCAGAGGUUAUGCACGUUUUAAGGCAAAAUGCCAACCAGCAGUGUGUGAGAGUUUCCCUUUUCUCCCCCUCUUGCUGAUACCGAGUCAUUUCAAAGUACUGGCCGGGUAAAAAUAUCUCUGGUGGCCAGCCUGCAAGACAGCCCCAAUGAUCCUCACCCCCUCGUGUGGACCCGUCUCAUAAUAAAUAGGGCUGUCCUGGAAGAUGUUGCA
rnacentral:lncRNA from 1 species